GGGGUUGUAAGGUUAUCUACAUCAUAAUACAAAACGUUAGACAUUACUAUUGUGACUUUGAAAAUAUAAUUGCAAAGAGUCAAAUUCUUCCAUUUUCUUUCGCUUUAGCAGUGUAAUUCUACUGUUAUAAACGAAAAAAUCAGUAUAGGUAUCUAUCUCUGUAUUGAUUCUUAAAUAUAGAUGCUCUUAAACUAACUUUAAGUUAAGUAAUAUGUUUUGUAUAAUAAUAUAAGUAAAACAAAAAGUCUUAGCAUGUAUUAUUUUGGACGUGGGUUCAACUCCCACCAACUCCA
rnacentral:tmRNA from 1 species